CUGUCAGACAGCAACUCGGGAAAAAACACACUUUUCACCCCAAAAUCCCAAUUUUAACUUCCCUAUGCCCAAAUUUGAUCCCAAAGUUUGUCUAAACAUUUAUAUACAUCAAAAGAGACUCAAAACCAUAUAAAACUUGACCCAAAAUAUUAUUUUAGAAAAUCAUCAAAUAAUCACUUUUAACCCUAAUUCCCAAAUUCUCAAAAACUAAAACCUACAACAUGUUAAAUACAAUUUUCAGAAUCAUAGACUCAAGAUUAUUGAAUGUUAGUCCCACCCUUACCUUAUAGAUGAAAAUCGCAGCACUCCUAGGUCUUCUCC
rnacentral:lncRNA from 1 species